GGUGCAGAUGCUAUGAAUUGAAUGAAAGUGUUCAUCAGGACUUACACAUUACUGCAGUGAAAACCAAAGUCAGGAGUUGUCCCCCAUCACAAGAAAGCAGCACCAAGCCAGAGUAGGACAUUACCAGGAUUCAUGGCAUCCCAGUCAAAAUCUGCACCCUGCAUCAGUCUUCCAUCCUCAGCACAGGAGGGAAAUGCCCAGGAAGAGGACACCUGGCAAGCCAAGCACGUACAAAGCAUUUCCCCAACAUGCAGGGGCAAGCAAGGGCCAAGGCGUAAACCAAGAAGGGAUUAUCAAGGGACACCAGGAACCACAUUCGAAUGUGAAUCACAUCAGGAAUCCCAUUCUAUGACUCUAUGAUCUCAAAUUCCUGAAACAGGAAUGCUUUCA